UUGGUUAAGUUAGAAAGGGCGCACGGUGGAUGCCUUGGCACUAGGAGCCGAAGAAGGACGGGACUAACACCGAUAUGCUUUGGGGAGCUGUACGUAAGCGUUGAUCCAGAGAUUUCCGAAUGGGGGAACCCACUAUCUUUAGUCGGAUAGUAUCCUUACGUGAAUACAUAGCGUGAGGAAGGCAGACCCAGGGAACUGAAACAUCUAAGUACCUGGAGGAAGAGAAAGAAAAAUCGAUUUCCUGAGUAGCGGCGAGCGAAACGGAAAGAGCCCAAACCAAGAAGCUUGCUUCUUGGGGUUGUAGGACACUCUAUACGGAGUUACAAAAGAAAGUUAUAAAUGAAGCGGUCUGGAAAGGCCCGCCAAAGACGGUAACAGCCCGGUAGUUGAAAUGGCUUUCCCUCCAGAGUGGAUCCUGAGUACGGCGGAACACGUGAAAUUCCGUCGGAAUCCGGGAGGACCAUCUCCCAAGGCUAAAUACUCCCUAGUGACCGAUAGUGAACCAGUACCGUGAGGGAAAGGUGAAAAGCACCCCGGAAGGGGAGUGAAACAGUUCCUGAAACCGUGUGCCUACAAGUAGUUAGAGCCCGUUAAUGGGUGAUAGCGUGCCUUUUGUAGAAUGAACCGGCGAGUUACGAUUUGUUGCAAGGUUAAGCGGAAAAAGCGGAGCCGUAGCGAAAGCGAGUCUGAAUAGGGCGCAUAAGUAACAGGUCGUAGACCCGAAACCAGGUGAUCUACCCAUGUCCAGGAUGAAGGUAAGGUAAUACUUACUGGAGGUCCGAACCCACGCACGUUGAAAAGUGCGGGGAUGAGGUGUGGGUAGCGGAGAAAUUCCAAUCGAACUUGGAGAUAGCUGGUUCUCUCCGAAAUAGCUUUAGGGCUAGCCUCGAGGUAAAGAGUCAUGGAGGUAGAGCACUGUUUGGACUAGGGGCCCUUCUCGGGUUACCGAAUUCAGAUAAACUCCGAAUGCCAUGUACUUAUACUCGGGAGUCAGACUGCGAGUGAUAAGAUCCGUAGUCGAAAGGGAAACAGCCCAGACCACCAGUUAAGGUCCCCAAAUAUAUGUUAAGUGGAAAAGGAUGUGGGGUUGCUUAGACAACCAGGAUGUUGGCUUAGAAGCAGCCACCAUUGAAAGAGUGCGUAAUAGCUCACUGGUCGAGUGACCCCGCGCCGAAAAUGUACCGGGGCUAAACAUAUUACCGAAA
rnacentral:rRNA from 1 species